UACGUAGGGACCUAGCGUUGUCCGGAAUCAUUGGGCGUAAAGCGCGCGUAGGCGGCCCGGUAAGUCCGUUGUAAAAGUCGAAGGCUCAACCUUCGAAAGCCGAUGGAUACUGCCGGGCUAGAGUCCGGAAGAGGCGAGUAGAAUUCCUGGUGUAGCGGUGGAAUGCGCAGAUAUCAGGAGGAAUACCCAUAGCGAAGGCAGCUCGCUGGGACGGUACUGACGCUGAGGCGCGAAAGCGUGGGAGCGAACAGG
rnacentral:rRNA from 1 species